UCGCGACGAUAACAUCGAAGUUUGCGUUUUUAACUCAGUUCCAAUUUUUUCCCUCGCCACUGAAUGGUGACGAUCGGGUAAUUACUCGUGUACCUCCAAUCCAAACGUUCUCUCGAAACCAUGCACCGGUGCAUAUUCACGGUGUAUAAAAGAUAAGCAAAAAUCGUCACCCGUACAUCCUUCUUAUCUCGAUGGCACGUAAGUUUCAUUUGUUGUAUUUAUGCAUUUCAGCUCUAAAAAAAAACGGACUUAUGGGAAUGUAGGAUUCCAGGUGGAUUCCGAGGUCGAAACGAAACUGCGGAAACUUCCGUUGAGCAGAUACUUCAAAUUUAUUGUGCGCUAUUCAUUUUAUUAAUCAAUACAAAUACUUGCUAUCCUAACGGAAAUCCAAUAGUUAUUUGGCAAUGUUACAACUUUUUUGAUCUGCAUAAUUUUAUGUCGAGUGGAAUACCAGUCCCGAAGAUUCCGUCCAACACAUUUCUUUUGUAAAUUUUCUUUGUUAUACAAAAAUACAAAAUUCUGGUUAAAAAAGUGUUUGUAUUUCACUCCGAACCUUGUUAUUUAGGUGGUCACUUUUUUUUUGUUGUACCACACAUUCGAGGAGACAGUUCUACGACUUAUUUCAACGCUAUUGUGUGGAUUUCUCCGCCGGCUUGGUAGAAACGAUUUGGCAACGUUGUACAAAUUCCAAACAGUCGACAGGUGACGGUUCCGGCUAUUUCAGCCGAUGCGCGAAUCUGGUUUUGACAGCUUUGGUUAACAAUGGGUCGGAGUAAUUUUCUACUUCGAGUACUUCAAACUUUUUAUUCGUUUUUUAAAGGGAACACAGAAACGCUGAAACCUGUGAUAUCCCGAAAUAUUUUGGGAUACUAUGCAUGGGAAGUUUUUACGAGUUCGGAGAGCUGAAGCGUGGUGGCGCUGAAGUUUGCAACGUUGAGGUUCAACGAGAUAAACGAAAAAAACAUUUGUAGAUUUUACGCGCGCAUAUUAAUUAUAAUAAUGAGCUUACGAUACCGACUUUACUAUGAAAAUUUGCUAUCGAUUGGAACUCUCAACGUGGUAGAACUAUUUUUAGUAAGGUGGAAAUAAGCAUGAGCAGCGUGUAAACAAACAUAUUACUAUGCGGAAUCACAACCGCUUAAGAGAGGUUAUUGCAGACUGGAUACAUACUCGAAGGCUUUCGUGAACGUGACUAUUUUUUUUUUGCCGAGCUCGUUAUCAGUAAGGUUGAAUUCAUUUCGAUUUUUUUCUCACUUCUACAGUUUAUUCAAACAAAGAUGUUAUAUGUGAUGACAUUGAAACGAACGACGCAAACGAACGAUUCUGACACGUCGAGCUCUAACUACGUCAGCGUUAUAUACACCAGCUUGAGGCUUGAGAUAAAAUGUAAACAGGUUUCUUCACAAGUUUUUCGAGAACGAUCUCUCUUGCGUGAAACUUUUUGAAAACACAUUUUUCAAGAAAUAAACAUUGAGUUUACAUAACCGAUAUCGUACAAGAUACGUUGUACCAUGUACCAAUUUCCCAACGAGUUUCUCGACUCCGCGAUGAACGUUUAAAAAUGAAGAACCAAAAAUUUUUCAUGAAAAUACUAUGUGCGAAAUAUUAAUCCAGCAAAUUUUCUAUUCCCGUAUUGGAUUUCGUAAAAAAAAAAGAAAAUUCUUUUUCUGUCUGCGUAACAAUCGUCGUGUAGAAUAUUUCGGGCCUGAAUAGAAGUGUCGAUGUCAUUUUUGGUAUGCGGUGAUAAAUAUUACCAACCUGUGUAUAUUUUUUACAGCUUUCAGGUUAGGUUCGUAGUUUGACGGUUGACGAAGCGAAAACACUUCGUAUAUACUUGGGCGUGUUGGGCAUCUGAAAGUGAUUUCAGCGAGUCUCUUACGUGCUUCACGAGCGUGACUUCGUGCUGGUUUCUUGAAGUCACCUUCUGUCUUCCAUAAACAUAUGGACGCGGACAAAGACACGCGAAGUCUCUACUCGACAGAGAAAAAAAGGAGCGAGCAACGGAGGAAACGAAGAGCCUGGCUUUCACUUCCCUGUUGUGUGGGUAUAUUCACGCAUGUGCGUAGAAGAGUUCAGCUAACCGAUAUUUUUAUUGGCCUUGGAUAAAUUGUUCCGAAAAAUGAUUGCGACUAUUCAAUUGACAAGUGUAUUGAUAGAUAAAUAAACAAUCAAAAUUUUCUUUCA